AGCGUUUUGUUCUCGAGAGAGGAUAUAUAUAGGCAUUAUGCUUGUGGUUAGGUUCUUGUAAUAAAUCAAAGUUUUUGUGUAAUAUAUCAGAGAAUUUGAAUUAAUUAAGGCAACUCUGUCGAGGCACAUCAUUUUCUGUGUUUAAUUGAUGGAGAAGGAGAAUACCACUAAAAAAAGACACGUUAAAUAUAAAGCUCUCUCCCUCUAAACCA